CCUACGGGCGGCAGCAGUGGGGAAUAUUGCGCAAUGGGCGAAAGCCUGACGCAGCGACGCCGCGUGAGGGAUGAAGGUCUUCGGAUCGUAAACCUCUGUCAGCAGGGAAGAACGGUCACUGUGCUAAUCAGCAGUGAAUUGACGGUACCUGCAAAGGAAGCACCGGCUAAUUCCGUGCCAGCAGCCGCGGGAAUACGGAGGGUGCGAGCGUUAAUCGGAAUUACUGGGCGGAAAGCGCUCGUAGGCGGUAUGUCAAGUCAAGGGUGAAAUCCCCGCGCUCAACGUGGGAACUGCCUUUGAAACUGGCAAGCUGGAGUGUGUGAGAGGAGAGUGGAAUUCCAGGUGUAGGAGUGAAAUCCGUAGAGAGCGGGAGGAACAUCAGUGGCGAAGGCGACUAUCUGGCACAUAACUGACGCUGAGGAGCGAAAGCGUGGGUAGCAAACAGGAUUAGAUACCCGAGUAGUC
rnacentral:rRNA from 1 species